AGUUAACGUUGGCGGCGUGCCUAACACAUGCAAGUCGAACGCGUCCUAAGGGCAACUUUAGGAUGAGUGGCGAACGGGUGAGUAUCACGUGGGUAAUCUUCCUUCAAGUGGGGGAAUAAGCUCUCGAAAGGGAGUCUAAUACCGCAUGACAUUCCGGGACACAAGUCCCCGUAAUCAAAGCCGCAAGGCGCUUGAAGAUGAGCCUGCGUCCUAUUAGCUAGUUGGUGGGGUAACGCCUACCAAGGCUUAGAUGGGUAGCCGGCCUGAGAGGGUGAACGGCCACACUGGGACUGAGACACGGCCCAGACUCCUACGGGAGGCAGCAGUGAGGAAUUUUGCGCAAUGGGGGAAACCCUGACGCAGCGACGCCGCGUGGAGGAUGAAGGCCUUCGGGUCGGUAAACUCCUGUCAGAGGUGAAGAAUACCCGCAAGGGUUUGACGGUAACCUCAGAGGAAGCCCCGGCUAACUACGUGCCAGCAGCCGCGGUAAGAGUCACGUCG
rnacentral:rRNA from 1 species